rnacentral:rRNA from 1 species
AGUGAACGCUGGCGGCAGGCCUAACACAUGCAAGUCGAGCGGCAGCGCGGGGGCAACCCUGGCGGCGAGCGGCGGACGGGUGAGGAAUUCGUCGGAAUCUGCCUUUUUGUGGGGGAUAACGUAGGGAAACUUACGCUAAUACCGCAUACGUCCUACGGGAGAAAGUGGGGGACCGCAAGGCCUCACGCAGAAAGAUGAGCCGACGACCGAUUAGCUAGUUGGUGGGGUAAAGGCCCACCAAGGCGACGAUCGGUAGCUGGUCUGAGAGGAUGAUCAGCCACACUGGGACUGAGACACGGCCCAGACUCCUACGGGAGGCAGCAGUGGGGAAUAUUGGACAAUGGGCGCAAGCCUGAUCCAGCCAUGCCGCGUGUGUGAAGAAGGCCUUCGGGUUGUAAAGCACUUUUGUCCGGAAAGAAAUCCCUGGAGCUAAUACCUUCGGGGGAUGACGGUACCGGAAGAAUAAGCACCAGCUAACUUCGUG